rnacentral:tRNA from 1 species
GGGUGGUUAGCUCAGCUGGGAGAGCAUCGGCCUUACAAGCCGAGGGUCACAAGUUCGAUCCUUGUACCACCCA